GACCGGUGGGGGGGGGAUGGGGCCCGGAUGGAUAAAUAACUCCCUGGCGCCCUCCGCUCCACUACGCCUACAAGUGCCUUCCUUACCGCUCCUCUAUUCUGGCUCUGUACGGGCUGGGGGCAGAAGGCCUUAGGGAGCUGUACCCGGUGGCUUCCUGGGCGUGUUGGCCAGAUCUGCCUGUUUCACCCCCACCCCAAAUCUCCAGUGAUGUGUUUGCCCCAGAAAGACGAGGGAAGGGAGAGGAGAACUGUUGGAAGCUGCUAAAAGCGCUUUGAUCUUGAUACUUUUCACUGAGGAGUCUAAAAGUACGGAGUCCAACUUCCUGACUUUACAGACUGAGAAACUGGGGCUUACUAAAUUGUGACCAGGCCUGAUCUCUUAUUCACCUGGUAGAACCCGAGCCUCCUGGGCCUCCUGCUCCUGGGCAGCCGCCUACAAUUUUACCCUGCAUCUGCCAGGGCCUGCUGUGGGUCCUGAGGUGAGGGUGAUGGACUAUAGCCCCUCCCCACUCGCCCCGUUUCCUCAGCGGCUCUCCCUUCCGGAAUGUUAAGGCAGGAGCCCAUCUGGUCAUUGUUACCUGCUUAUUAUUAUUUUGUUAUUGUCAGUGCUCAACGGGCCUCCUAAAAGACUGGCUGGGGAUGGGGUAUGAGGGUGUGGGGAGAGGGCAACCUCUCCAACACUCCCUAGGGAUUGUUGGGACAUCUAGGUCUGGCUGACAGCUCCUGCACACAACCCCUCAGGUAGACUGUGAAGGCUCCAAGGACCCUUCUUCCACGGACUCCCUCUGACCUUUCACUUUCACCUUCUCUGAGCCUUGGCCUCUCAGCUCAUAGCUGCCUCAGGGCCUUUGCAUGUACUAUGCCCUUUGCCCGUGCUCCCUUCCCCACUGCAAAUCCUAAUGUCCUCAGAGAGGCCACUCCCACUCACUGUAUUUCCAUUAUAUCCUUGGAAGCAUUCAGAAUGACAGGGUGGACCAUAAAUUUCCGGAGGGCGAGGACCUUUAUCUAUCCCGAACCUGUUGGUCACCAACAUCCAAUACAGCACCUGGCUCAGUGUUGAAGGAGCAUGCUGCCUGGCCCAGUUGCUGUGGCAGUCUCUGGCCUCAGUUUGUCUGACUCACCUGUGGGCAUGAACAUUCCCAGUCCCCAACCCUCGUCUCCUACCUCCCUACCUCAUCUGGCCCUGCCCCUGAUUGGGCUCUGGAGCAAGAAGGCCAUGAAGGAAACUGUCACCAGGAGCAGGAGGCCUGCCCUGGUGGGCAGUGGCCCAGGGGUGUGAGUGUGUCUAUAUCCACACAAAUGUCUGUUUGUGCCUGUGUUGUGUUCGUGUAUGGGUCAGUGUACUCAGGUGUGUUCACACACAAGGGCAGGUGUCUAUGUGCCAGUGUGGGUUCAUGCACAUAGAUCUGUGUGCCUGUAUGUAUACACAUAUAUGUAUACUUGUGUAUACGUAUGUGUCCGUUUGUGUGUUUCUAGGCACAUAGGUCUCUGUGCCCUCCAGACCUGUCCUCUCAGGUCCCAGCCUGGGCAAAGGGACCCUUGAUGAGAGGGGAUCCUGUCCCCAGCCUGUUGCUAGCCUUGCCCUGGGACCCUGCUCUGGGCCUGUGCAAUGGGGCUAGAUUGGAGGAGAUGGGGCCAUGUUUCUCUCCAAGGCAGGACAUGAGUGGGUGGCCUAGAUAGCCUCCACCCUGACCUUGGGCCUUGACCUUAAUAAGUGGGUGAAUGGUCUGGUGAAAUAUGGGCAGAACCUACCUGAGCUGAAAAACUGACCAGCAAACAGGCCUUGGGAAAUGGAGGCACAGGGAACCCAAGGCAAUUCACCUCUCUGAGUCUCAGUUUCCUCCUCAUGAAAAUGGAGUGAAAAAUCUCACCUCCCUUGUAGAGUAUUGUGAUUUUUGUUUCUUUUUUCUUUUCUUUUUUUUUAAUUCAGUAAACUCUACCCCCUUCAUGGGGCUAGAACUCACGACCCUGAGAUCAAGAGUCCGCAUGCUCUACUGACUGAGCCAACCAGAUACUGACUGAGCACCUACUGUGAGCCAAGCGAUGGGGACACACACGAGUGACACAAACACCCUCACCCCGCACCCGGUCUGAAAGAGGAACCUGUCAAACGCGGCUUCAAGGAGGCUGAAGGGUGCCCCCUCCAUGGACGGGGGUAUGUUUUAGAGUUGGGUGAUCUGGGAGGGGCACCCUGGGAAGUAAUGCUGAACGAAGGAGAAGCUGGAGCAAAUCUUGAGCUAAUUUGAAGGCCCAACAUCCCAGACUGUGGGAACAGCAAAAGCAAACGCCCUGGGGCAGAAACCAGCUGGCCACAUUGACGGAGAGAGGCAGGUGGCGCUGGAUUGGCCACGGCUCUAAUCUCUGCCGCUCUGGCGCCUUUCUCGAGAGCGAAGAGUUUACCCUUCUUGUUUAAAGCGACCUGCAACUCGGUUUAAUGUUUAGUCUUUAUUUGAAGACCCAGAGAGCUAAAAUCUACUCGAUGAAACGGAAAGCCCCAAAGAAAGAGAAAGAAGGAGUUAAUCAGGAAGCAGAAAGGGGUGCUUGGCCUGCCGCAGGGAGGGGAUCCACACCCUGUCCUCUGGGCCGGCACUGGCGCUCUCCAGUCUCACAAGACCAUUUUACAGACGAGGAAACCGACGCGUCCUCAGCGCCUUUUCGGCACUGGUAGAACCAGACUGAUAGAGCUUGCUUUACGACCCGUGGCCCAGUUGACUCCACCGAGGGUGCACUGUCCACAGCCUCUCGUAGGCAGGCCGGGAAGAGCGGCUCAGUCUAAGCCCAGUGUUCAUUGAUUGUCCUGGGUGAGCCCAGAAGGGCGCCGGCUCAAGGAGAGAACCACGCCUCACAACACCUUCCCUACCAGAUGCCUGCGCUCAUCCAGGGAACUCUGCUGUAUACCCAGGCCCAGGUUAGGCCCUUUCACAGGCAGACUUUAAGAAACCAGAAGGUUUGGGGGUCAGAGGGUGGUGAGUCGGACUUCACUAAAGCCACUUCAGAAGCUGA